GCCCCCGUAGCUCAGAGGACAGAGCACCGGACUUCUAAUCCGACGGUCGCAGGUUCGAAUCCUGCCGGGGGCG
rnacentral:tRNA from 1 species